CCUACGGGGGGCUGCAGUGAGGAAUAUUGGUCAAUGGACGAGAGUCUGAACCAGCCAAGUAGCGUGAAGGAUGACUGCCCUAUGGGUUGUAAACUUCUUUUAUAUGGGAAUAAAAUGUUCCACGUGUGGGAUUUUGUAUGUACCAUAUGAAUAAGGAUCGGCUAACUCCGUGCCAGCAGCCGCGGUAAUACGGAGGAUCCGAGCGUUAUCCGGAUUUAUUGGGUUUAAAGGGAGCGUAGGUGGAUUGUUAAGUCAGUUGUGAAAGUUUGCGGCUCAACCGUAAAAUUGCAGUUGAAACUGGCAGUCUUGAGUAAAGUAGAGGUGGGCGGAAUUCGUGGUGUAGCGGUGAAAUGCUUAGAUAUCACGAAGAACUCCGAUUGCGAAGGCAGUUCACUGGACUGCAACUGACACGGAGGCUCGAAAGUGUGGGUAUCAAACAGGAUUAGAUACCCUUGUAGUC
rnacentral:rRNA from 1 species